ACUGUUGUCUUUGGUCCCUGGAUCCAUUUUUCUGCUUAUAAAAGUGCUGUUGAAGGCAGGAAGCUGACAUGGUCCUGGCUGCAGAGCUGCUCUGUCAGUCUCCUGAAAAGCCAGCUGUGCCUGCUGGUGUCGACCUGCGUGGCCCCUUACCUGUUCCCUUUGUUCAUCCCCAUCCAUGGAACCGCAGCCACGCAGAAGUGGCUGGAUGCCUAUGAAAAUGCCGUGUCCUUCCACUUCAGUAACUACUUUGUGGGCCUCCUCAGUCA